rnacentral:rRNA from 1 species
AUGGUUGUCGAUCUUGACGGAAAGCAUCUUAUCCGAGCCACGGAACAGAGGGCUUCAAAACCAACCGUAUUAGGAAUUGGCCCAGAUCCCCAUGCGCUAGCGAAGGCACAAGAUAUCGAGCGCAUAUGUGCUCGUGACCAUAUACUCUGCGUCCACCCCAAGACCCUUCUCUUCGGUGAGAAGGAGGUUGCUGUGUUUGGCUGCAGGAACCCUGAGGAGAUCCCAUGGGCUGCUGCUGGUGCUGAGUACGUUGUUGAGUCCACCGGUGUUUUCACUGACAAGGACAAGGCUGCAGCUCACAUUAAGGGUGGUGCCAAGAAGGUCAUCAUUUCUGCUCCCAGCAAGGAUGCUCCCAUGUUUGUCUGUGGUGUCGAUGAGAAGGAAUACAAGUCUGACAUCGACAUUGUCGCCAACGCUAGCUGCACCACUAACUGCCUUGCUCCUCUUGCUAAGGUUAUCAAUGACAGGUUUGGCAUCAUUGAGGGUUUGAUGACCACAGUUCAUGCCAUGACUGCAACCCAGAAGACUGUUGAUGGUCCUUCCAGCAAGGACUGGAGAGGUCAUUCCAAGCAGCACUGGUGCCGCAAAGGUAUAUUCAGCUGGCCUUCUAUUAUACCAUCAGCUGUUGGCAAGGUGCUCCCAGAGCUUAACGGAAAGUUGACUGGAAUGGCCUUCCGUGUUCCCACUGUUGAUGUUUCUGUUGUUGAUCUGACUGUUAGACUUGCGAAGCCAGCAACCUAUGAUCAGAUUAAGACUGCUAUCAAGUGA